CACGUAGGGUGCGAGCGUUGUCCGGAAUUAUUGGGCGUAAAGAGCUCGUAGGCGGUGUGUCGCGUCGGCCGUGAAAACCUGCAGCUUAACUGUGGGCUUGCGGUCGAUACGGGCAUCACUGGAGUUCGGCAGGGGAGACUGGAAUUCCUGGUGUAGCGGUGAAAUGCGCAGAUAUCAGGAGGAACACCGGUGGCGAAGGCGGCAUCCUGGACCGAACACUGACGCUGAGGAGCGGAAAGCCAGGGGAGCAAACGGG
rnacentral:rRNA from 1 species